GGUUGACGAAGUCCUUAGGGACGUAAAAACCUUUUAUGGGGGAGGAAGUAAUUGACGUUACCCCAUGAAUAAGGGGCUCCUAACUCUGUGCCAGCAGGAGCGGUAAUACAGAGGCCCCAAGCGUUACCCGGAAUCACUGGGCGUAAAGGAUGCGUAGGUGGCUUUGUUAGUCCUUCGUUAAAACCUUCUUGCUCAACAAGAAGAUCGCGAGGGAAACGGCAUGGCUCGAGGAUGUAAGAGGCGCGCGGAACUCAUGGUGUAGGGAUUAAAUCCGUUGAUAUCAUGGGGAACACCAAAAGCGAAGGCAGCGCGCUGGGACAUUCCUGACACUGAGGCAUGAAAGCGUAGGUAGCGAAAAGGAUUAGAUACCCUUGUAGUCUACGCCCUAAACGAUGAUCACUGGCUUUUGGGAGUAUCGACCCUCCCGGAGGCGAAGCUAACGCGUUAAGUGAUCCGCCUGGGUAGUACGGUCGCAAGACUAAAACUCAAAGGAAUAGACGGGGAUUCGCACAAGCGGUGGAUUAUGUGGCUUAAUUCGAUGUCGAACGAAAAACCUUACCAAGGUUAGAAAUCAUACUGCACGCCUCGGGAAACCGAGGAAGCCUUCGAGGGUGUAUGACAGGUGAUGCAUGGUCGUCGUCAGUUCGUGGCUUGAGCUGUUCCCUUAAGUGGGGAAACGAACGCAACCCCCGUUGUCUGUUUUAUAUGUCAGGCGAGACUGCUCCCUCACGGGAGAGGAAGGUGGGGAUGACGCCAGAUCAGCAUGUCCCUCUGAUACCUUGGGCUGCACGCAUAAUACAAUGGGCGGUACAACGGGUUGCAAUAGCGUAAGCUGGAGCCAAUCCUUAUAAAACCGCCCCCAGUACGGAUUGAGGUCUGCAACCGACCUCAUGAAGCCGGAAUCGCUAGUAAUCGCAGGUCAGCUAAACUGCGGUGAAUACAUU
rnacentral:rRNA from 1 species